ensembl:lncRNA
UUUUCAGGAACAGAGAGGCUUCAGAUGAUUGGUAUAAGAAUCCAGGCAUUAACGAUUAUCUGAUUAUGAUUUUGGAAAAAUAAGAUAUCUCCUGUCUACAUAUGUGGAGUGAUGUUUCUAAUGAAAAGCAACAAUGGAGUCAUUUUGAUCUCUGAUGGGUGAAACUCAUUGGAAUGGAAACCAACAUCUAUGCAACAAACCAAGGCUCACCAUGUCUUACAUCUGCCAAGUGCCUGGGGACUCCAAAGGGAGCAAAGUAUGAAGAAUACCAAAGAAACACAGAAGAACAGAAAAGUCCAUCUGAAUUUCAGGAUGUUUUACUGGAACCUGAGUUGAGUUUGCUGUCUGUGUCAUCCAUAUUAGACCACAGUGAGACAUCCUUGCAACCUGAUGGGACUGAAGGGUGUGUUAGUGCCACCAAUCAAUCUGAAGCACAGCGGCUCUCUGAAGAAUUAUUGUGUUCAGCAAGGCACAAGCCAAAGGAAGACAAUCUGAACUUCACCUCACACACAGAAUGGCCAUUCCUUGCAGGAAAAAAUCCAGCCAACAAACCAGAAAGGAGUCAUGAGAUCAGAGUCAUAAGACACAAGCCAAGUGCUAUCACAUUUUCUGAUUUUGAAUUUUUAUCACAUGAAGCGAAUACUAAACUCCAUAUUUAUGAGGCAGGAGAAGAAGACUUUUCAUCUGAAGAGGAAGAAGCAGAUGGCAGAGGUGAUGAUGAUCUGCUUACAGAACUGCCUCUGUAUGAGGCAUUUUUCAAUGGCUUUCAUAGAACGGAUGUUUUCCCAAGAAAUCAAGCUAAAUGUGAACCUACUGAGUAUCCACACAUGUGUCAUUUAGAAGACUGUAGUGACCAUUCCAGAACGGAAUCGAAGGACCAUGACAAGGAAGGAAAAUACAUGGAGCUGGAGUGCCCUGCUCGAGUGGAGACAAGCCCUUAUGGAGAUCUUCAAGGAAAAGGAUCGUGGAAGCACAGAACUGCAGACCACCGGGAUCUAGAUUGUUUAUCUUACCCAGUAUCAACUGGAGCACGACCUAAACCUUAUGUAAGUAGCUGCUGAAUAUUUACAUUCUCUGACUCUGUGAUUCACUACCUUAAAAACUGCUCCAAAAGUAAUGCCUUCUAUUUAUUUUUGUGGAAACUGCAGCAGAUACAAUGAGCAUAAUCACACUAUUUGAUACAGCAAAUUCUCAGCUACAAAAAACUAUUUUUCAACAUAGUCACCAUGAGCUAUGCGUUUUCAUCAGCAAUGAAUAAGAGCCUGCAUGCUGCGCUUGUAAAAAUCUACACAAGCAGAGGUGACCCACUGUUGUCACCACUGCUGAAAUGCACUACUCACCACCUCACUGUGCACAUUUCCACUGUUUGAUCUCCAUAAAUGUUCAGAAAGCAUCGAUGAACGUCAGUGGAUGGCAUUUUUUUCUGUGUGGAGGAAUUCAGUGACAUCCCUUUGCUUCAUCUGCUCUUCCAUGUCAGAUGCCAUUCAGUCAGACUGCCCCUCUGUUGCCAUCUGUCACACGGUAACAAAAUGUAAUGGAAUAUUGGUGGGAAGGUUCAUUCCCUACUGCCAUACCACCAACAUCUGCCUCUUAUAUCUUGGCCAACAUAAUUAAGCGGGAGGCAUUACUUUCAGAACAGUCUUGCCUGGGGGAGUUCAGUGUGCAUAAUGGAUACAGAUGAAAGUUAAUUCAGUGUUCAAUUUCCAGGGCCAUGGGGUUCAGCUCAUCUGAUGUUGGACAACUAUAAAGUAGUGUUCUACAUCUGAACCAGUUACUUGGACUGGCAUUGUAGUCAAGGGAAAGAAACAGGCACUUCUGAAAAGUAAAUGGUUUCAUCUGGAGGUUAAAUGUGAUGGAUUCUAGGCAUCAAUGCCACUAUUGCAUCUUCUUUGCUGCUUUUAGCAUUAUUUUCUUGUGUUUUUUUUAUCUGGGUGUCCCACCAUCCAGGGUUCUGAGUUUUUGGUGAG